GUUUAAUUUAGUAUAUUAGUAUAUCUACCUUCCAAGUAGAAGGUCUAUCAUGAAUUCAUUAUAUA
rnacentral:tRNA from 1 species